rnacentral:rRNA from 1 species
AACGCGAAGAACCUUACCAGCCCUUGACAUGUCCCGUAUGAGUACCAGAGAUGGAACUCUUCAGUUCGGCUGGCGGGAACACAGGUGCUGCAUGGCUGUCGUCAGCUCGUGCCGUGAGAUGUUGGGUUAAGUCCCGCAACGAGCGCAACCCUUACCCUUAGUUGCUCAUCCGAAAGGAAAGCACCCUAAGGGAACUGCCUGGGAUAACCAGGAGGAAGGUGGGGAUGACGUCAAGUCCUCAUGGCCUUUAUGCCCAGGGCUACACACGUGCUACAAUGGCCGGUACAAAACGUCGCAAACCCGCGAGGGGGAGCCAAUCGCUAAAAACCGGUCUCAGUUCGGAUUGCAGUCUGCAACUCGGCUGCAUGAAGCUGGAAUCGCUAGUAAUCGCGUAUCAGAACGACGCGGUGAAUACGUUCCCGGGCCUUGUACACACCGACGCGUA